UCCGGCUUAUCACCGGCGGUUCCUUUAGAGUGCCCAACUUAAUGAUGGCAACUAAAGGCGAGGGUUGCGCUCGUUGCGGGACUUAACCCAACAUCUCACGACACGAGCUGACGACAGCCAUGCAGCACCUGUGUUACGGUUCUCUUUCGAGCACACCUCGAUCUCUCGUGGCUUCCGUACAUGUCAAGGGCAGGUAAGGUUCUUCGCGUUGCCUCGAAUUAAACCACAUGCUCCACCGCUUGUGCGGGCCCCCGUCAAUUCCUUUGAGUUUCAGCCUUGCGGCCGUACUCCCCAGGCGGGGCACUUACUGCGUUAGCGACGGCACCGGGAGGGUCGCUCCCCCCGACGCCUAGUGCCCAUCGUUUACGGCGUGGACUAC
rnacentral:misc_RNA from 1 species